CCCUUAGAUGUUCUGGGCUGCACACGCGCUACACUGAAGGGAUCAGCGUGUUCUUUUCCUGGUCCGAAAGGAUCGGGUAACCCGCUGAACUCCCUUCGUGGUAGGGAUCGGAGCUUGCAAUUAUUCUCCGUGAACCAGGAAUUCCCAGUAAGCGCAAGUCAUAAGCUUGCGUUGAUUACGUCCCUGCCCUUUGUACACACCGCCCGUCGCUACUACCGAUUGGACGUUUUAGUGAGGAUUUUGGACUGAGCCAAUGGUGGUUCACACCACUGUUGUGCAUGGAAAGAUCUCCAAACUUGAGCGUUUAGAGGAAGUAAAAGUCGUAACA
rnacentral:rRNA from 1 species